AGGUUCUGCUGACGGGUGCCAGUCCUCAAAACUACACAACAAGGUCGCGUAAAGAGCCCUACAGCUGGCCUGGCCCGGAAGAGAGAAUGCCGGACUCCAGGAUAUCCUUUCUGGUUUUCCUUCCCUGAACCCCACUUUCCAUCUCCUUGACUUCUCCAUAGAGUCCCUUAUUCUCCCCCCACCUCCCUCGGAGGCCCAGGCCUAUCUGGCAGCCACAUGUGUUCUGCAUCUGGAAUUCCAGAGACAUUGGAGUGAACAGGAGGUGGGCGAAAGGAUUCCAUAUCCUUGACCAACCAGAGAGAAGACUCAGGUCUAAAGCUGCCAGAGUUCUCCAUGGAAGGGGUGCAGAGAGGAUGAGCUCGUUAAGUGUGCACCAAACCCCGGGGAAGAGUGACCCGGCCUUACAAAGGAGAGCAGGAGACUGGUCUGGCCCCAGAGCAGUUCCUAAUUGAAUAACUUCAGGAAGUCACUCAGGUUUCCAAUCUGUAAAACGGACUCACAAUAAAUCCUUUCUAUUACUUUC